GUGAGGAAUUUUCCGCAAUGGGCGAAAGCCUGACGGAGCAAUGCCGCGUGAAGGAUGAAGGCCUAUGGGUUGUAAACUUCUUUUCUCAGAAAAGAAUUAUGACGGUAUCUGAGGAAUAAGCAUCGGCUAACUCUGUGCCAGCAGCCGCGGUAAGACAGAGGAUGCAAGCGUUAUCCGGAAUGAUUGGGCGUAAAGCGUCUGUAGGUUGUUUAAAAAGUAUUCUGUCAAAGAUUAGGGCUUAACCCUAGAUAGGCAGAAUAAACUUUUAAGCUAGAGUUUGGUAGAGGCAGAGGGAAUUCCCGGUGGAGCGGUGAAAUGCGUAGAUAUCGGGAGGAACGCCAAAGGCGAAGGCACUCUGCUGGGCCAAUACUAACACUGAGAGACGAAAGCGAGGGGAGCAAAUGGGAUUAGAUACCCUGGUAGUCC
rnacentral:rRNA from 1 species